rnacentral:rRNA from 1 species
AGCGAACGUUAGCGGCGCGCCUAACACAUGCAAGUCGCACGAGAAAGGGAGCAAUCCCCGGUACAGUGGCGCACGGGUGAGUAACACGUAGAUGACCUUCCCUGGAGUGGUGGAUAACCUGCCGAAAGGCGGGCUAAUACAGCAUGGGACCACAUGGUUUUGACCGAGUGGUGAAAGACGGGCCGUCUGUUCACAAGCUCGCGCUCUGGGAGUGGGUCGUGCGUCCCAUCAGCUAGUUGGUGAGGUAAUGGCUCACCAAAGGCAUCGACGGGUAGGCUGGUCUGAGAGGAUGACCAGCCACACUGGAACUGAGACACGGUCCA